GGGGGAUUAGCUCAGGUGGUAGAGCGACUGCUUCGCAUGUAGUAGGUCAGGGGUUCGAGUCCCCUAUCCUCCA
rnacentral:tRNA from 1 species